UACGUAGGGGGCAAGCGUUGUCCGGAUUCAUUGGGCGUAAAGAGCGUGUAGGCGGCCAGGUAGGUCCGUUGUGAAAACUCGAGGCUCAACCUCGAGACGUCGAUGGAAACCAUCUGGCUAGAGUCCGGAAGAGGAGAGUGGAAUUCCUGGUGUAGCGGUGAAAUGCGCAGAUAUCAGGAAGAACACCUAUGGCGAAGGCAGCUCUCUGGGACGGUACUGACGCUGAGGUGCGAAAGCGUGGGGAGCGAACAGG
rnacentral:rRNA from 1 species